rnacentral:rRNA from 1 species
UACGGGGGGGGCAAGCGUUGUUCGGAAUUACUGGGCGUAAAGGGCUCGUAGGUGGCCAACUAAGUCAGACGUGAAAUCCCUCGGCUUAACCGGGGAACUGCGUCUGAUACUGGAUGGCUUGAGUUUGGGAGAGGGAUGCGGAAUUCCAGGUGUAGCGGUGAAAUGCGUAGAUAUCAGGAGGAACACCAAUGGCGAAGGCAGCUCGCUGGGACGGUACUGACGCUGAGACGCGAAAGCGUGGGGAGCAAACAGG